AGAGUUUGAUCCUGGCUCAGAACGAACGCUGGCGGCAGGCUUAACACAUGCAAGUCGAACGGUUGUAGCAAUACAGCAGUGGCAGACGGGUGAGUAACACGUGGGAACCUUCCUAGGGGUACGGAACAACUCAGGGAAACUUGAGCUAAUACCGUAUACGUCCGUGAGGAGAAAGAUUUAUCGCCCCUAGACGGGCCCGCGUAGGAUUAGGUAGUUGGUGAGGUAACGGCUCACCAAGCCUACGAUCCUUAGCUGAUCUGAGAGGAUGAUCAGCCACACUGGGACUGAGACACGGCCCAGACUCCUACGGGAGGCAGCAGUGGGGAAUCUUGGACAAUGGGCGCAAGCCUGAUCCAGCCAUGCCGCGUGAGUGAAGAAGGCCUUCGGGUUGUAAAGCUCUUUUACCAGGGACGAUAAUGACGGUACCUGAGAAUA
rnacentral:rRNA from 1 species